rfam:Hyphomicrobium nitrativorans NL23, complete genome.
AACCGGCUAGCUCAGAGGUAGAGCACGAGACUGUUAAUCUCGCUGUUGUGGGUUCGAAUCCUACGCCAAUCG